rnacentral:lncRNA from 1 species
GCCAGACUUCCACCCUGGACUCCUGUUGCAGGUAGACCUCACCCCGAGCUCCUAUAAGGGCCGGACUCUGGGCUCCUGCCGCAAGCGACCCACUCCGAGUUUCUGCUACAAACGAUCUACUUCAAAUUUCUACCACGAGCGGUCCGUGUCAGAUUCCCACCGUAAGCCUUCAUCUGAGCUUCCAUUGCGGACGAACCUCUCCA